GGUUUGGUCCUUUUUAGGACCACACAUUUUCAAGAAAAAAAUAUA
rfam:Octopus bimaculoides Scaffold1153_contig_81, whole genome shotgun sequence.